AAUAUGACUACUUUUUCUAAGGUUCAUACUCCUCAGUUCACUCCAGGGUAAACUUUCGGAACAAACUAAACCAACAUUUUUGUACUCACUCAGGAUCCCAUAUUCGCAAAUCAGGAUUUAAAAAAUGGCGCGUCUCUUAAUCCCCAUUUUCCUCUUGGCUGUCCUCCUACCUACAAGUUUCUGUCAGUCGCUACUUUCGAGUGGAGAUGAUGGUCAGCCAUGCGGACUAUUAGGUCUGCCAUUGCCCCUCACUGUUUGCAUCGAGACUGCUGGGCCUUGUCCAACUUCAUCGGCUAUUUUGGGCACCUGUAACGCCGGGUAUCACUGCUGCGCUUCUAACAUCCUACGUAAAUCGGAAGAAAAUAGUACAUCUAUUGUGCCUUAAGUAUUUAAAUUU